rnacentral:rRNA from 1 species
AUUGAACGCUGGCGGCAGGCCUAACACAUGCAAGUCGAACGAGGGGCGGACGGGUUAGCAAUGUCUGGGAAACUGCCUGAUGGAGGGGGUUAACUACUGGAAACGGUAGCUAAUACCGCAUACCAUCAGAUGUGCCCAGGUGGGAUUAGCUUGUGGGUGGGGUAACGGCACACCAAGGCGCCGAUCCCUAGCUGGUCUGAGAGGAUGACCAGCCACACUGGAACUGAGACACGGUCCAGACUCCUACGGGAGGCAGCAGUGGGGAAUAUUGGACAAUGGGCGCAAGCCUGAUGCAGCCAUGCCGCGUGUGUGAAGAAGGCCUUCGGGUUGUAAAGUACUUUCAGCGGGGAGGCGUUACCCGCAGAAGAAGCACCGGCUAACUCCGUGCCAGCAGCCGCGGUAAUAC